rnacentral:rRNA from 1 species
AGAGUUUGAUCCUGGCUCAGGAUGAACGCUGGCGGCAUGCCUAAUACAUGCAAGUCGAACGAUGAAGUUUCCUUCGGGAAACGGAUUAGCGGCGGACGGGUGAGUAACACGUGGGUAACCUGCCUCAUAGAGUGGAAUAGCCUUCCGAAAGGAAGAUUAAUACCGCAUAACGUUGAAAGAUGGCAUCAUCAUUUAACCAAAGGAGCAAUCCGCUAUGAGAUGGACCCGCGGCGCAUUAGCUAGUUGGUGGGGUAACGGCCUACCAAGGCGACGAUGCGUAGCCGACCUGAGAGGGUGAUCGGCCACAUUGGGACUGAGACACGGCCCAGACUCCUACGGGAGGCAGCAGUGGGGAAUAUUGCACAAUGGGGGAAACCCUGAUGCAGCAACGCCGCGUGAGUGAUGAAGGUUUUCGGAUCGUAAAGCUCUGUCUUUGGGGAAGAUAAUGACGGUACCCAAGGAGGAAGCCACGGCUAACUACGUGCCAGCAGCCGCGGUAAUACGUAGGUGGCGAGCGUUAUCCGGAUUUACUGGGCGUAAAGGGAGCGUAGGCGGAUGAUUAAGUGGGAUGUGAAAUACCCGGGCUCAACUUGGGUGCUGCAUUCCAAACUGGUUAUCUAGAGUGCAGGAGAGGAGAGUGGACUUCCUACUGUAGCGGUGAAAUGGGGUUGGAAUUAGGAAGAUCCCCAGCGGCGAAGACGACUUUUGGACUGUAACGGGCGCUGAGCCUCGAAAGCUAGAGGAGCAAACAGGUUAGGAUGCCGAGGUAGUCCACGCCGUAAAACGAAGAAAUACUAGGUGUGGGGGUUUCAACACCUCCGGGGCCGCCGCUAAACGCAUUUAAGUUAUUCCGCCUGGGGAGUACGGUCGCAAGAUUAAAAACUCAAAGGAAUUGACGAGGACCCGCACAAGUUAGCGGAGCAUGUGGUUUAAUUCGAAGCAACGCGAAGAACCUUACCUACACUUGACAUCCCUUGCAUUACUCUUAAUCGAGGAAAUCCCUUCGGGGACAAGGUGACAGGUGGUGCAUGGUUGUCGUCAGCUCGUGUCGUGAGAUGUUGGGUUAAGUCCCGCAACGAGCGCAACCCUUGUCGUUAGUUACUACCAUUAAGUUGAGGACUCUAGCGAGACUGCCUGGGUUAACCAGGAGGAAGGUGGGGAUGACGUCAAAUCAUCAUGCCCCUUAUGUGUAGGGCUACACACGUGCUACAAUGGCUGGUACAGAGAGAUGCAAUACCGCGAGGUGGAGCCAAACUUAAAAACCAGUCUCAGUUCGGAUUGUAGGCUGAAACUCGCCUACAUGAAGCUGGAGUUACUAGUAAUCGCGAAUCAGAAUGUCGCGGUGAAUACGUUCCCGGGUCUUGCACUCACCGCCCGUCA